rnacentral:rRNA from 1 species
UACGUAGGUGGCAAGCGUUGUCCGGAUUUACUGGGCGUAAAGAGCGCGCAGGCGGUCGUUCAAGUCGCGUGUGAAAGCCCCCGGCUCAACUGGGGAGGGUCACGCGAUACUGAUCGACUCGAAGGCAGGAGAGGGUAGUGGAAUUCCCGGUGUAGUGGUGAAAUGCGUAGAUAUCUGGAGGAACACCGGUGGCGAAGGCGGCUUCCUGGACCGACACUGACGCUGAGGCGCGAAAGCCAGGGGAGCAAACGGG